rnacentral:rRNA from 1 species
CUACGGGGUGCUGCAGUGAAGAAUAUUGCACAAUGGGGGAAACCCUGAUGCAGCAACGCCGCGUGGAGGAUGACGCAUUUCGGUGUGUAAACUCCUUUUAUCAGAGAAGAAAAUGACGGUAUCUGAUGAAUAAGCUCCGGCUAACUCCGUGCCAGCAGCCGCGGUAAUACGGAGGGAGCAAGCGUUAUUCGGAAUCACUGGGCGUAAAGGACGCGUAGGCGGGUUUUUAAGUCAGGUGUGAAAUCCUAUGGCUCAACCAUAGAACUGCACUUGAAACUGGGGACCUAGAGUAUGGGAGGGGCAGGUGGAAUGAGUGGUGUAGGGGUAAAAUCCGUAGAUAUCACUAGGAAUACCGAAAGCGAAGGCGACCUGCUGGGACAUUACUGACGCUGAGGCGUGAAAGCGUGGGGAGCAAACAGGAUUAGAUACCCUGGUAGUC